GCUGGCGGCACGCCUAACACAUGCAAGUCGAACGAAGUAGCAAUACUUAGUGGCAGACGGGUGAGUAACAUGUAGGUAUCUGCCCUUUGGCCUGGAAUAACACGAGGAAACUUGUGCUAAUACCGGAUAAGUCUUUACGGAGAAAGCUUUAUGCACCAUUGGAUGAGCCUGCACUUGAUUAGUUUGUUGGUGGGGUAAUGGCCUACCAAGACUGUGAUCAAUAGCUGAUUUGAGAGGAUGAUCAGCCACAUUGGGACUGAGACACGGCCCAAACUCCUACGGGAGGCAGCAGUGGGGAAUCUUGCACAAUGGAGGAAACUCUGAUGCAGCGAUGCCGCGUGAGUGAAGAAGGCCCUUGGGUUGUAAAGCUCUUUCGUCGGGGAAGAAAAUGACUGUACCCGAAUAAGAAGGUCCGGCUAACUUCGUGCC
rnacentral:rRNA from 1 species